rnacentral:lncRNA from 1 species
CUUUCACUGAAGAAGUGAUUAAGCUUAACAUCACUAAUAAUGGGACAAACGGACGUCAGGAGCCUCCAGAUGCGAUGCACUGAGAAGGACACAUUAUUCCUGUACUCUUCCUUCAAAAAUGCAUGGUCUGUAUUUCAGCAUAAGGAAAUAAUCAGACAAACCCAACAUCUAUGUGUGAUGAUGUGUGGAGGAGGAGAUGGAAAAGACUAAAGGAAAUUAUCCAGGUCCCCACUGACAGUGCUAAGUGACACGUGGGCCAUGGCAGAAUGUGAAGAAACAGCUGGGAACAGAGAACUCCACAACAAACCUGCAA